CACGCAUCAGUCUAAUGAACUACUCAUCGAAGAUCAGGUAACCUCGUGGUGAAUGAUGCCCCUCCACGUGUUCGACAAAAUGCUUUACUCAAACCCUAACCCAUCAUUGAUCACCUUAUCCCAUUCGAAGCAUCAAAAUCUUUGCUUAUGAUUUCUCUCUCCAAAAGAACGAACCCUUGUCGUGGUUUGCAGCUCUCUGAUGAGCAGGGAACGAGAUUUCUAACGCAGCUCAGGUGCUCGACAACAUGCCUCGAUGGGGUUCCACCCCCAAACAGUUCUUGAUCUAAUGUGUGAUGCAUAUUGAUGGGUUCUCUUUGUCAAUGGGCGAGGAGACAAAUGAAGCUCAUUAACAGCUUGAUCUAAUGUCUCAAAAGAGGACGAUGAACCAGUACAACAUUAUAAAGCAAGGGAGUCCAGUUGGUAAUGGCUGAAUCUUUCAUGGAGUUGAGGAAGAUGAUAGGUUGGGCUACUUAAAUGUGCAAGUUGAUACAAUGAAUGACCGCAACUGUCACUUUAUGUUGGCUUCAGAGGCAAUGAAAUCAUAUGGUGUUAUGGAAACAAAGGAGCCCAUAUCAUGUGGUGAUCAGACUUCUAUACAGUUGAAGAAGAUGAUAUAUCAUGUUAUAUAAACGCAGCAAGUUGAUUCAAUGAAUGACCCCUAACUGUCUCAUCAUGUUGGCUUCAAGGACAAUGAACCAGUACAACAUUAUGACCACAACCAAAAUGCUAUGUGGCUCGCGC